rnacentral:tmRNA from 2 species
GGGGCUGAACGGUUUCGACUGCGUACGUAACGUCGAGGGAAGCGUGCCGGUGCAGGCAAGAGACCACCGUUAAGCGUCGCUGCAACCAAUUAAGCGCCGAUUCCAAUCAGCGCGACUACGCCCUCGCUGCCUGAUAGCAGCGACUGCGUGUCUGUCAGCCCGGGUUUGCUCUCGGCCCGGUGUCUGGCAUCAGCUAGAGAGCUUCACCGUUCGGCUCGGUCGCGGAGUCGAACGGGACAUCCAACAGCGACUGGGACCGUCAUCUCGGCUUGUUCGCGUGACCGGGAGGUCCGAGUAGAGGCAUAGCGGACUGCGCACGGAGAAGUCUCGGCAGUGCUGCGGAGGACCCGGGUUCGAUUCCCGGCAGCUCCACUC